rnacentral:rRNA from 1 species
UGGGGAAUUUUCCGCAAUGGGCGAAAGCCUGACGGAGCAAUGCCGCGUGGAGGUGGAAGGCCUACGGGUCGUCAACUUCUUUUCUCGGAGAAGAAACAAUGACGGUAUCUGAGGAACAAGCAUCGGCUAACUCUGUGCCAG